rnacentral:rRNA from 1 species
CUUGUUGGUGGGGUAAUGGCCUACCAAGGCGACGACGGGUAGCCGGCCUGAGAGGGCGACCGGCCACACUGGGACUGAGACACGGCCCAGACUCCUACGGGAGGCAGCAGUGGGGAAUAUUGCACAAUGGGCGAAAGCCUGAUGCAGCGACGCCGCGUGAGGGAUGACGGCCUUCGGGUUGUAAACCUCUUUCAGCAGGGAAGAAGCGCAAGUGACGGUACCUGCAGAAGAAGCACCGGCUAACUACGUGCCAGCAGCCGCGGUAAUACGUAGGGUGCGAGCGUUGUCCGGAAUUAUUGGGCGUAAAGAGCUCGUAGGCGGCCUGUCGCGUCGGAUGUGAAAGCCCGGGGCUUAACCCCGGGUCUGCAUUCGAUACGGGCAGGCUAGAGUGUGGUAGGGGAGAUCGGAAUUCCUGGUGUAGCGGUGAAAUGCGCAGAUAUCAGGAGGAACACCGGUGGCGAAGGCGGAUCUCUGGGCCAUUACUGACGCUGAGGAGCGAAAGCGUGGGGAGCGAACAGGAUUAGAUACCCUGGUAGUCCACGCCGUAAACGUUGGGAACUAGGUGUUGGCGACAUUCCACGUCGUCGGUGCCGCAGCUAACGCAUUAAGUUCCCCGCCUGGGGAGUACGGCCGCAAGGCUAAAACUCAAAGGAAUUGACG